rnacentral:rRNA from 1 species
UUCCAGACUCCUACGGGAGGCAGCAGUGAGGAAUAUUGGUCAAUGGACGCAAGUCUGAACCAGCCAUGCCGCGUGCAGGAAGACGGCUCUAUGAGUUGUAAACUGCUUUUGUACGAGGGUAAAUGCAGGUACGUGUAUCUGUUUGAAAGUAUCGUACGAAUAAGGAUCGGCUAACUCCGUGCCAGCAGCCGCGGUAAUACGGAGGAUCCGAGCGUUAUCCGGAUUCAUUGGGUUUAAAGGGUGCGUAGGUUGUUUUAUAAGUUAGCGGUGAAAUACCGAUGCUCAACAUCGGGGCUGCCGCUAAUACUGUAGGACUAGAGAUCGGAUGCAGCAGGCGGAAUGUGUAGUGUAGCGGUGAAAUGCAUAGAUAUUACACAGAACACCGAUUGCGAAGGCAGCUUGCUAGGCCGGAUCUGACACUGAUGCACGAAAGCGUGGGGAUCGAACAGGAUUAGAUACCCUAGUA